CCUCCUAUUUUGAUAUGCCAAGAUAUAUUUUUCCAUAUUAAAUAUUUUGAAAAAGUUGAAUGCAGCAUUGUGCCAGAUAAUUAAAAUGUAAAUUUCAGUAUCUAUGCUUGCUUUGUGAUUUUUUAAAAAAAUACAUUUAAGUUAGUUGUCUUUUAAAACAUGUGGUCAGCUGUUGUAUUCACAUAUGGUCAAAUGAUCAAAGUCUGAACUCCUCUCUAAUUGUCCCCCCGCUGCUCGUCUGCUCUGUCCGUGAUCAAGGCCUCAGCAGGUGAUGAGAAAGGCAUGAGAACAGGCUGGAAGGAGAAUGAGGCACCGAGAGGCCCAAGCUGAAAGAAAUAAAGACUUCCAGUACAUCACCCUGACAGUAAAGAGCGAAGGAAAAGUGACGUCUGAGAACUGCAAUGUGCUCUGCUUGAAGAAAAGGAAGUUGGGUUGUGAUAAUAUAAUUCUGGAUUCCAUGGAAUGUUGUGGCUCAUGGAAGAGGCAAGAGAUAAAAGACAGAGAAACAAUAUAGUGGUAAGUUUCAGGGGUUUUAUUUUAUAUUAAAACAUCAUUUUGUGACAAAUAUGGACAGAAUGUGCAUAAGAGUAUUAUAUUUCUGCGCAUCAAAAUGGAAACAUGCUUACUAGGCUGUACUUUGUAUUAUCUGAAAAAUACCAAGUGCUCUUCAUUGUAGCCUUUGUCCUAAAAGGCUUGCAAAAAAUAAUUCCAGAAAAGGUGCGCUGGCAAUCAACAGCUGGUUAGCUAGAGGGAAAUAAAUAGCCCUCCUGAUGAAAAUACCUGAGAAGC
rnacentral:lncRNA from 1 species